UGGGGAAUUUUGCGCAAUGGGGGAAACCCUGACGCAGCAACCCCGCGUGGACGAUGAAGCAUCUUGGUGUGUAAAGUCCUUUCGGCAGGGACGAAUAAAUUGACGGUACCUGCAGAAGAAGCCCCGGCUAACUCCGUGCCAGCAGCCGCGGUAAUACGGGGGGGGCGAGCGUUGUUCGGAAUUAUUGGGCGUAAAGGGCGCGUAGGCGGUGUGGCAAGUCAGGUGUGAAACCUCCAGGCUCAACUUGGAGCUUGCAUCUGAAACUGCCGUGCUAGAGUGUGGGAGAGGAGAGUGGAAUUCCUGGUGUAGCGGUGAAAUGCGUAGAUAUCAGGAGGAACACCGGUGGCGAAGGCGGCUCUCUGGACCACAACUGACGCUGAGGCGCGAAAGCUAGGGGAGCAAACAG
rnacentral:rRNA from 1 species